UGAGGAAUAUUGGGCAAUGCCCGCAAGGGUGACCCAGCAACGCCGCGUGGAGGAUGAAUGUCGUAAGAUUGUAAACUCCUGUUAGAGGGGAAGAAUAGUACCGGUUGGACCGGUAUAUGACUGUACCCUCAGAGAAAGCCCCGGCUAACUACGUGCCAGCAGCCGCGGUAAUACGUAGGGGGCAAGCGUUGUCCGGAUCUACUGGGUGUAAAGGGCGCGCAGGCGGGAUAAAAAGUCAGUGGUGAAAUCCUACAGCUUAACUGUAGAACUGCCUUUGAUACUUUUAUUCUUGAGUUCGGGAGAGAGACGGAAUUCCAGGUGUAGUGGUGAAAUACGUAGAUAUCUGGAAGAACACCAGUUGCGAAGGCGGUCUCUUGGUCCGACACUGACGCUGAGGCGCGAAAGCGUGGGGAGCAAACA
rnacentral:rRNA from 1 species